rnacentral:lncRNA from 10 species
GGCCGCUGCCCCGCAGCGCCGCCGGGUCACGUGACCGCACCUGCCUCGCUCCCUCGGGAGGUUUGGUCCCGUCACGUGACUGUCCAAUGAGCAUCUCCCGAUAAGUGCCAGCAGUGGCGCCGUCCAACAGCCGUCCGUCCAAUCGCAGCUCUAAUGCCUUCAUUUAUCCAGAUCACUUCCUUUAAGGAAAGCCAGCUGCCAUGUGGUGAGUGUCAGGCCUCUGAGCCCAAGCUAAGCCGUCAUAUCCCCUGUGACCUGCACGUACACAUCCAGAUGGCCGGAAGCAACUGAAGAUCCACAAAAGAAGUGAAAAUAGCCUUAACUGAUGACAUUCCACCAUGGUGAUUUGUUCCUGCCCCACUCUAACUGAUAUGAUAUAUUCUCCCCUCCACCCCACUUAAGAAGACUCAGCCCACCUGCACCCAGGUGAAAUAAACAGCCUUGUUGCUCACACAAAGUCUGUUAGGUGGUCUCUUUGCACGGACACGUGUGACAGUGAGGACACUCAAGCAGUCAUACUCUGGCGAAACACGGGUGGCAGGAAACCAAGUC